rnacentral:rRNA from 1 species
AUGGAUGAUAAAUUUGGGCAUGAUGUUUUCUCCAAAUUGGGAUUUGACUGUUGGAAAAAUGCGGCUGCAGCAUUCCGUAAACAUGUUGGUGGGCCAUGUAGCAUCCACAAUAUUUCAAAAACAGCAUGUGAUGAUUUUAAAAAUCAAAGGGCAAGUGUGAAAAGUAAAGUUACAACUUACAGCAAAGGUUCACUAGUCAAGUAUGAAACUUGUGUGGAUACAUCUUUGGCCAUUGUAAGUUAUCUAGCAUUGCAAGGUGAACCAUUUCGUGGAUACGAUGAAUCCACUUCUUCUUUGAACAAGGGGAAUUUUUUGGAGCUACUUGAUUGGGUGAAAGAAAGAAUUCCAGAAGUGAAGGUUGCAUUUGAUGAGCUAUGCCCUAAGAAUGCCCAAAUGACUUCCGGAAAAAUUCAAAAAAUCCUUGUUUCUCAUUGUGCAAAUGCGGUCACCAAAGCAAUCAAAGUAGAUAUGGGUGAUUGUCUUUUCUCCGUUCUUAUUGAUGAGUGCCGUGAUAUAUCGGUGAAAGAACAAAUGGCCGUGGUUAUUAGGUACUUGAGCAAACAAGGAGAGACUAUUGAACGUUUUUUAGGUAUUAAGCAUGUCCCGGACACAACAUCUGCUUCUUUAAAGAAGGCAUUGUUGGAGGUUUUUGCUAAACACGGUCUAGUUGUUGCACGACUACGAGGGCAAGGGUAUGAUGGGGCAUCUAAUAUGAGAGAAGAAUUCAAUGGCCUUUAG